AUACGGAGGAUCCGAGCGUUAUCCGGAUUUAUUGGGUUUAAAGGGUGCGCAGGCGGGAGAUUAAGUCGGCGGUGAAAUUUUUCAGCUCAACUGUAAAAGUGCCUUUGGUACUUGUUUUCUUGAGUGUGGGUGGAGUAGGCGGAAUUUGUGGUGUAGCGGUGGAAUGCUUAGAUAUCAUGAGGAACUCCGAUUGCGCAGGCAGCUUACUAAACCACUACUGACGCUCAGGCACGAAGGCGUGGGGAUCAAACAGGAUUAGAUACCCUGGUAGUCCACGCAGUAAACGAUGAUUACUGGCUGUUUGCGAUACAAUGUAAGCGGCUGAGCGAAAGCGUUAAGUAAUCCACCUGGGGAGUACGUUCGCAAGAAUGAAACUCAAAGGAAUUGACGGGG
rnacentral:rRNA from 1 species